AGAACGAACGCUGGCGGCGUGGAUAAGACAUGCAAGUCGAACGCGAUUUAUCAGGUUAGCAAUAACUUGGUAGAUUGAGUGGCGAAAGGGUGCGUAACACGUGGGAAUUUACCAAGAAGUGGGGAAUAGCUCGACGAAAGUCGAAUUAAUACCGCAUGUGAUCGAAAGAUCAAAGUCGGGGACCGCAAGGCCUGACGCUUUUUGAGAAGCCCGCGGCCCAUCAGCUAGUUGGUGAGGUAAUGGCUCACCAAGGCUAUGACGGGUAGCUGGUCUGAGAGGACGACCAGCCACACUGGAACUGAGACACGGUCCAGACACCUACGGGUGGCAGCAGUCGAGAAUUUUUCACAAUGGAC
rnacentral:rRNA from 1 species